rnacentral:lncRNA from 1 species
AUGCCAUCUCUAACUCUGAUUUUCAUUGUACACUCCUUCCGAGAAUCCUCCCUGGACAGUUUCAGAAGCCACCAGCCCCACCAUGGACUUCCUUGCAGAUCUGAAGAAACUGGCAGCCCCCUUCUGAGUGACCCACACUUUGGAAUGAAGUACAGUUGGCAAGCAAAAGGAAAUGCUGGACGAGGAGAGGAUGAUGAGGCACCUCAUUGUGGGACAUUCUACCCUGAAGUCUGAUCCAAUCCUGAAUCAUUCCUGCUCCCAGGGAACCUGGUGAGAUCAUUUUUCAUUCUGA